rnacentral:rRNA from 1 species
UGGGGAAUAUUGCACAAUGGGCGAAAGCCUGAUGCAGCAACGCCGCGUGAGCGAUGAAGGCCUUCGGGUCGUAAAGCUCUGUCCUCAAGGAAGAUAAUGACGGUACUUGAGGAGGAAGCCCUGGCUAACUACGUGCCAGCAGCCGCGGUAAUACGUAGGGGGCUAGCGUUAUCCGGAAUUACUGGGCGUAAAGGGUGCGUAGGUGGUUUCUUAAGUCAGAGGUGAAAGGCUACGGCUCAACCGUAGUAAGCCUUUGAAACUGGGAAACUUGAGUGCAGGAGAGGAGAGUGGAAUUCCUAGUGUAGCGGUGAAAUGCGUAGAUAUUAGGAGGAACACCAGUUGCGAAGGCGGCUCUCUGGACUGUAACUGACACUGAGGCACGAAAGCGUGGGGAGCAAACA